GGAAACUCACUUCAAAAGCAGCUGCAUCUAGGGGGAGAUUAAAGCCUUUGCCGCCUUCCAAUCAAAUGGGAGCCCGAGCUUUCUCUCCAGAUCCGGGUACAAGAAAGACCUAUUCCCAGCCGGCAGUCGUGCGCAGGGCGCGGGGCUCAGAAUUUCUCCAUCCGCAGAGCAGAGCAGAGCGCACCCGCUGAGCCUUAGCCUUCGAGGGAGGCGGGACAAGGAAUCCCGGGCAGACUUUUUCGUCCGUCCGUGCUGGUGAAAAGGAAAUCAAGCCUUUUCCUCCCCAGCGGAAAAAAUAAAAACAAAACCCAACAAUAGCAAAGCCCUCUCCGAAUUUUCAGACCCUGGUCCUGCCUCCUCGUCUUCAGUUGGAAAUAACCUCAGCGCCCCAGAAGCUUCAGUUGGUAUAUUUGCCUGGGAGGUGCACCUCUCCGAGUUUCUUGCCUCCUUGGGAGAAGGCGCUGUGCUAGCCUUGGAGAUGGCUUUGUGUGUCUUCUUACUGAAGAGAAACACGAAACGAAAGAAACUUCAUCGAGGACAGCAAAGGAACUUCUCUACCUCGUACUCUGGAGAGAAAUUCCCAAACCCGAUUCCCGGACUUUGUCCCUCCCUUCCUCUUUCUGCUCGAACCCUCCAAGAUGAUGGAUGUCCUUUUCCCAAACCCCAAGACCCAGGUUCUGAAGCCUCUCCGGGGUGGAGAGUCCUGGAGAGGAAAAGCGAGAAAUAUCUGUUUUAAGAAAAUAAAGCCGCCUGCCGUGCCCUUCUCUGCG